rnacentral:rRNA from 1 species
AACGAACGCUGGCGGCAGGCCUAACACAUGCAAGUCGAACGCCCUAGCAAUAGGGAGUGGCAGACGGGUGAGUAACACGUGGGAACCUUCCCUAUAGUACGGAAUAGCCCAGGGAAACUUGGAGUAAUACCGUAUACGCCCGAGAGGGGAAAGAUUUAUCGCUAUAGGAUGGGCCCGCGUCGGAUUAGCUAGUUGGUGAGGUAAUGGCUCACCAAGGCAACGAUCCGUAGCUGGUUUGAGAGAAUGACCAGCCACACUGGGACUGAGACACGGCCCAGACUCCUACGGGAGGCAGCAGUGGGGAAUCUUGGACAAUGGGCGCAAGCCUGAUCCAGCCAUGCCGCGUGAGUGAUGAAGGCCUUAGGGUUGUAAAGCUCUUUUGGCGGGGACGAUAAUGACGGUACCCGCAGAAUAAGUCCCGGCUAACUUCGUGCCAGCCGCCGCGGUAAUAC